rnacentral:tRNA from 1 species
CAAAGUGUAACUUAAUUAAAGUAACUCGCUUACACCGAAUAUAUAUUUGUUUAACUCAAAUCACUUUGU